ACCAUCUGAUGUUCUUCCCAAACAGAGAGAGUGGAGUCUUGACAAACGCAGAACGGAAUCCUACAUUUGAUGAAAACUGCAUGAAACUUCCAGAAAAACAAAACGAGAUGCUGACCAAGUCUGACAGACUCACACAGCAGAGGGUGGAAUGUGCACUUUGGGCCGUAAUAGACCAGGUUCCUGACCGACUCUGUGUGACGGCGCCCUCUGGUGAUCGCUCCCGGUCCUACAUUCAUCCAAAGAUUCAGCAUGAUUCAAAACGAGCAGCUAAAGACCUGGGGACAACAGAGCAGAAAGGUGCGUUUGAGGACAGAGGUCAAGCUGAGCUCUCCUUGGCUGUCAGAGGCAAGCUGUGUGACUGGCAGCUCUCUGCCCUGAGAUCAGUAGAAGAAGUUAGGCGACGACUCUGGACCUCACUUUCUGUGGGACGCUGAAUCAAUCCGACAUCACUCACCUGUUCCUGAAACACAACGUUCCUCUAAAGUUACCAACGUUGUCUUUACUUCUGCAGACGUUUUCUGACAAACAUGAUCCAGUCCAGAUUGAUUACAAAAGUCUCUUCCAAUUCAUAACAAGUUCUGCGUUCACGGAGCAGCCCUGCGAUCGCUUCAGUGGAGCUGAACAAGGACAAAGCUAAGAACACCAGGAGUAUGAGAACACUGUGGAUCGAUAAAGUAAAGAAGGAACCAGAGCCAAGCUCAUCAGGCCCCAGCUCAGAGGACUACAAUUCAUUUUAAUGUUAUUGUCAUAAGAGUGAGUUUUUUUUUUUGCCCUAACCAAGACCUAUGUUGCUUUUGGUGUUUCACUGAAGGACACUUCCUGUACCAUUAAUGGGUGAAACUUUUCUAAGCUUUCAAGCUCAAGUACGCAAGAUUAGAGAAACAAGCAAAGCACCUACACCUUUAAAACAAUGAAUCAAUAGAACAUAUACUUGAGGUUACAAUACGAUGAGAUGAACCCACACCAGACAGAGAUAGUUUGCUUUUUUCUUUAUUUUUUUGGAGCUUUUUUUUUUUAAUAUUUAAGGUUUUUCCCUUUUUCUUGCUAUCCCUGCUUUUGGCACUACGUACUUAGGGUGACAUGUUAGAUUGUUUUUAAAACAAACGUCUAUUCAAAGCCUUCAUCUUCUGGCAAGCAAAGUAUGAAUACAGCUAAUAAAAAUAAAGGUUUACAUUUUUCCUUGUUUACUUUACACAUAAAAUAAAAACACUUUUUUGGACCCCCUCAAAAAUGGGGGUAUUAAAAUAUUUGACAUUUGUAUCACAAAUCAAUGUAAUGAGACAAAACAUAAAAACUGUACAAAAAUGAUAAAAUUCAUUUUUAAAAAUUCUGGUGAUCAAAUGAUGCUGAGAGUAAAUCAUUUCGCUUGGUUAUGUUACUGACCAUGAAUCUAAUUAAAAGGAGACGCGAGUUCACUUCUUCUGCUGGAUGAAAUUCAGAUUUACUUGAUGUCGGACGUGGGGGACCAGUGGGAAGUUGGGGUUUGGAUGCACCACAGAACCUAAUAAAAACAGAAAAGCACAUCAUGAGGUGAAACUGAAACAUUGGAAGAAUCUGUCCUCAUGAUUCAAAACAAAGUUCAUCCUGUCUUACCCUGGGUCACGAAGGGUUUGCCGGGCUGGUAGCCUCCAUUGCCCUGCUGGAUGAAGUUCUGGGGCAUCCUGUAGGGCCAGGAGGGAGAGAGGGCGUACUGCGGUGCUUUGUUGUGCUCCCAUAACCGAGAGCCUUGGCUCACAUUUACAAACUGGGCUGGGUGACCUGUAUCUGCAGAGACAAAAUCAGAACAGAGAACAAUUCAACACCUGGUUUCGAUCAUGCAGGGUGUCACAUAAUCCAGAAUGUCACUUUAGGGUCUUCAAACUAAAUAAUGCUUUGAAUCAUGGAAGAACUAAUCCAACUUUAUAUUUACAAUUAUCUGUCAAACUUGUUUAAUUCUUUUAUGAUCUAGCUUGUCUCUUUAUAGUCUGGUGUUUUUUCCAUGCACAAUUUUCACGCUGCUGUCUUAGCUAGCACUCACUUGAAGAAUAUCUCAACGGAAAAAACCCUGGUUAAAUAAACGACUCAGUGUACUUGUAUUAAAAUAUGUGAUUGGUAUACUUAAACAUUUAUAGUGUCUGGCAGAUGAUCAGAAUUGAAUGGGUAACUUUUCACUCUGCAUCUCGUGAUUUAAAAUGUAAUCGUGUCAUUGAUUAAAAUGUUAAAAAGCAGCCGUAAAAUACGAUUGUUUGACUUCUGGACCCGCAACAGAUGGAAUGCAUUUUUGUUGCCUAAUGCUUAAUUUUGUCUGGAAAAGUAAAUAAAUCUGCUGUUGUAAUAAGAACUGUUAACUGGGACUUAA